GGAUCGAUGAUGGACACCCUCACAUGCAUUCCUUGGAAAAUCUGAACAAAAUGAGUGAGAACUCACUACCGUCUCCUCAUCGAAACUGAGGUCC
rnacentral:snoRNA from 1 species